GAUGCACACGUGCUCAGCCUGGGUGAGUUGCUGAGUCUGCUGGUGCGGCUGUUGUCUUAGCAUAAGAAUGCUGCUGUACUGCUGAAGGCUCGAGCCUUGUGAACGCUGAAACUUGGGCGUGUUAAAGGUAGAAGGAAGAAGAAGAGGAGGAGGAGGAGGAGGAGGAGGAAGAAGAAGAAGAAGAAGAAGAAGGAGAAGAAGAAGGAGAAGAAGAAGAAGAAGAAGAAGAAAAAGAAGACAGAAAAACUGUGAUCUGCUGUGGGGAGCAAUGGAAAAGUCUUUCACCUAAAGAGCCAUCAUCUAAUCUCCCACAGAAGGCCUCUCCCAGCCCAGCCAAGGCUGCCCCCAAGACCAAGCUCAAGCCAGCCACCAACAAGUCAAGAGCUCUCCGCUCCGGAACAACUGAAGCUCCCCUCUUUUGUCCCUCUGCCCUGGGCUAGAUCCGGCCCUCGGCCCCCACUCUGUUCCCGGUGUUGCCUGGGUGCCCAAGAGCCUGAGUACCAGAUGGCCUGGCCUUUUUCCGUCCCCCCCACCCCCCGAGCCAGCUCCGGCUGUCCCCACGGCUCAGACUGUGCUUCCCCACUUCCCAAAGUGGUGUCCCUCGGCUUUUCUAUAGCCUGACACCCGCCCAACGAUGGCUUAGGGUAAGUGCGGUCCACUUUCUAUGUCCUGCCUCCCUGAGCAGCGGAGUCUCUGGCAGGACCCCAUUAACCCUGCAAUCCCAUUCCAAGUGGCUUGAUGCUCAGUAUGCUAAGGUCUAAGGGAGUCCCAGAGAGGUUCUGAGUGGCUGCCAGAACUACCAACCUGAGCUUUCUCUGAACAGAUCCACCCAGUCCCAUCAGGGGGGAGUCUGUCUCCAGUCCUACAGACAAGAGGCCCUGGGGCACCUGAACAGCUUCCCUGUUUCCAGAAUUGAAGGGUGAUUUAAGGUGGAACCAAACCUCUAGAACUUUGUUUUCUUGUUUGUUUGUUUGUUUUGUUUCGUUUUUGUUUUAAUAUAUAAGGUGUCUCUUUGU